GAAGAUGUGAGGAAACUACAGCUGCUUUUUCACAGUGCUACACAGAAGAUGUGAGGAAACUACAGCUGCUUUUUCCCAGGCAUGCACAAUAACUCCAGAACCCCGAAUGAGUGGACAAUCUGCUGACCAAUCAGCAGGAAAAGGAAAAGUGGUUCAUUAAUUGAAUGGGGAAUUACAAGAAAGUCAGCGAUAAGUUGUCUAGCCAACCACCGGGAGCACACUCAGGCACACUCCAGCCACUCCAGCCACUCGAACAAUCAACCACUCAACUUACCGUGUGGGAGUUGGGGU